CCUACGGGUGGCAGCAGUGAGGAAUAUUGGUCAAUGGGCGCGAGCCUGAACCAGCCAAGUCGCGUGAGGGAAGACGGUCCUAUGGAUUGUAAACCUCUUUUGUCGGGGAGCAAAAGACGCCACGCGUGGCGUUCCGAGAGUACCCGAAGAAAAAGCAUCGGCUAACUCCGUGCCAGCAGCCGCGGUAAUACGGAGGAUGCGAGCGUUAUCCGGAUUUAUUGGGUUUAAAGGGUGCGUAGGCGGUCCGUUAAGUCAGCGGUAAAAUUGCGGGGCUCAACCCCGUCGAGCCGUUGAAACUGGCAGUCUUGAGUGGGCGAGAAGUACGCGGAAUGCGCGGUGUAGCGGUGAAAUGCAUAGAUAUCGCGCAGAACUCCGAUUGCGAAGGCAGCAUGCCGGCUCCACACUGACGCUGAGGCACGAAAGCGUGGGUAUCGAACAGGAUUAGAUACCCUUGUAGUC
rnacentral:rRNA from 1 species